rnacentral:rRNA from 1 species
GAUGAACGCUGGCGGCGUGCCUAAUACAUGCAAGUCGAGCGAACAGACGAGGAGCUUGCUCCUCUGACGUUAGCGGCGGACGGGUGAGUAACACGUGGAUAACCUACCUAUAAGACUGGGAUAACUUCGGGAAACCGGAGCUAAUACCGGAUAAUAUAUUGAACCGCAUGGUUCAAUAGUGAAAGACGGUUUUGCUGUCACUUAUAGAUGGAUCCGCGCCGCAUUAGCUAGUUGGUAAGGUAACGGCUUACCAAGGCAACGAUGCGUAGCCGACCUGAGAGGGUGAUCGGCCACACUGGAACUGAGACACGGUCCAGACUCCUACGGGAGGCAGCAGUAGGGAAUCUUCCGCAAUGGGCGAAAGCCUGACGGAGCAACGCCGCGUGAGUGGUGAAGGUCUUCGGAUCGUAAAACUCUGUUAUUAGGGAAGAACAAAUGUGUAAGUAACUAGGCACGUCUUGACGGUACCUAAUCAGAAAGCCACGGCUAACUACGUG